rnacentral:lncRNA from 1 species
AUGGCAUGUUUCAUGAAAUCAACCACGUCUGCUCUCCCACGCGUCUAUUUUUAAGAUCCCGUCUGACCCUGACUCAGCUGAGUGAAUCACGCUGGAUGCCUUUGAUGACACACCAACCCACAGAAGUGGGGGGAGGCACGAGACACAAUGGUGACGGUCGGCUGUGUUUACACCGAUGGAGCUCCCCACCACCCGACACACACAGCGCUCCGGCUCACAGGAAACGCGGGCACGCCGGCGUGAGUGCGAUAUAUUCACAAUUCAAGCCACGCUGACUUUUCUAACACACAUGCCCAUGCGUCUUCCACAUCUGAAACUGCCCGCUUAACUCCCUGGACACAGGAUUUGUGCAUUUUAUGUAUUUGUUAUGCUUCAAUUAAAAAGUUCAUCUGGAGAAAACUGAGCAUGCUGAGGGCAGAUAAAAAAUAAGAAGACGUUUGCAACAUGAAUGCCUUGAAGUUUGUGAUUCUAUGACGGCCUGCAGAAUGACAACAAGACAACUAUCCAGAGGGGCAAAGAAAGGAAAGGGCCUCCCACAGGAAGCUGGUGUAGUCCUGCCCACCUAGUCUUCGAAAUAAGAAAAAAAAUGCUUGCUGACUCAUUAUAGACUCAGAGGAAACCAGGGAGGACAUGAGUCUGGGAGUGGCAUCUACACUUUCAGACUCCCAUUUUCAACUUCCUCCUGGAUAUCACACCUUGGAGGUGCCAAGAUCCCUCAAAACAACAGAUCUAAAAUAAAGCUACGUCUCCUGUUAUGGGUUGAAUUGUGUGCCCCCAAAUCCCUGUGUUGAAGCCCUGACCUCCAGGACCUCAGAAUGUGACCUUAUUUGGAGAUGGGGUCUUUACAGCAGUAAUCAAGUUAAAAAGAAGUCUUAAGGCAGGCCCUAAUCCAAUAUGGCUGGUGUCCGUAUAACAUGGAGAAACCUGGGGAGAGACACACAGAGGGGAGAUGAUAUGAAGAGACCGGGAGAAGACAGCCGUCCACAAGCCAAGGAGAGAAGCAUGGCACAGAGCCUUCCUCCACAGCACUCAGAAGGAAUGGACCCUGCUGACACCUUGAUCUUGGACUUCCAGCCCCCAGAACUGUGGGACAAUAAAUUUCAGUGGCUGAAGCCCA